rnacentral:lncRNA from 1 species
CAAAAAUCAAUUACAAGCCAAUUCCAUAAAGACAGUCGCAACCUUUAGAAGUAUUUGCCUAUUUCACAAUUAAUGCCACUACGAGUAAACACCUACUCCCUAACAACCUACCCUCGGAAGAAAACGAAAUUUGAAUAACAAAACACCAUCCGCAGCCACUCGUUUUCACAACUACUAACCUACCACCACCUCAGGCACGCUCACCACGAAUCCUUCGAGCCAGCUGAAUGUCUUUGGGCAUAAUAGUUACACGCUUAGCAUGAAUGGCACAUAGAUUGGUAUCCUCAAACAGUCCAACAAGGUAUGCCUCAGCCGCUUCCUGCAAUGCAAGCACC